rnacentral:rRNA from 1 species
UACAGAGGAUGCAAGCGUUAUCCGGAAUGAUUGGGCGUAAAGCGUCUGUAGGUGGCUUUUUAAGUCCGCCGUCAAAUCCCAGGGCUCAACUCUGGACAGGCGGUGGAAACUACCAAGCUGGAGUACGGUAGGGGCAGAGGGAAUUUCCGGUGGAGCGGUGAAAUGCGUAGAGAUCGGAAAGAACACCAAUGGCGAAGGCAGCUCGCUGGGACGGUACUGACGCUGAGACGCGAAAGCGUGGGGAGCAAACAGG